AUAACAAAUUUGGGAUGCCAACAUCAUAAGGGUUUCAAUCUAUUUCUCUAUCUAAUGAUGAUGAAGGCCGAAUCUUGCUAGGGUGAUCAUCUCUGCUCUUCUCUUCUCUUCGCUUCGGUUGCUAGGGUUAUUGAACCAGUCGACUACUAGAUACUGAGAAACAAAGCAUUGAUGUAAAUCCAGAUGUGCACCGAUUCACCUUCAAUUCAAAUAGGGACUAAUCCAUCGAAUGCUGAAGCUCCUGUAAACGAGGAUUAAGCUCUACCACCUUUAGAUGAUCUUGAUUUGGGAGUUAUAGAAGGUCUUCCUCCAGAUCUAUUUUCAGAAAUUAAUGAUAUGUAUGAUGGGAAGUUGAUUAAUUUGAUUUCAAAAAAGAAAGGCAAAAAUGUGGAUGCCAGCAAUUCUCUGUGCAGUAUACGACAGGAGAGAGUACAAGUUGCAAUAAAUGAGGGUAAGGGACCCUUUUGGCUGGAUCCAGCUUGUGUAAAUGAAAGCCCUGUGGAGGAUAAGGUAUCAUUCUCAUUUGCUUAAAUAGCUUGCUUGAACAAUAGGUUUCUAUUUUCUCUCUUCCUUCGGAUUAUUAAAUUUUCCAAAUUCCACUUGUGGCUUUGAUCAAAAUCAAAUGAGAGAAUAUAUUACACGACACUUUUCAAUAUUCACCAGUCUUUGAUUAAUUAUGAUUUCUGAUAAUAAUGUUAGUUCAUGUAUGUGGGCCUUUAUCUUAAUUAAUUGACAAGUUACAUUUCAUGAGGCUGCAUGCUCUAUAGUUUGUAAGAAAUCUAUUUUAUUUGCACAUUAAUGCAGAAAAGUCAGGAAGAUGUCUUUAAUUUUCUUGGUCAUUAACUUGUUGUGUUUGUAUUGAUUAGUAUUGGUGUUUAUUUUAAGAAGAGAAUUGUCCAGUUGAGAACAAUCAGGGAGAGCGUUCUUUUGAAGCGGGACCCUCAAAUUCGGUCUUUUUCACUUCAGUUCCUAAUAAAAUUGAUUUAAUGCCUUCAUCUCUAAGUCAAGUAGAUAUCUCAGUGUUACAACAACUACCUAAGGAAUUAAGAGUUGACAUACUUGAGGUGCUUCCUACACAUAAGAGGUCAGAAUGUACAUCAGAUGCUACUUUGGGUCCUACAUCUAAAUUCGAAGAAUCACCAUGUCUGAAAUGUCCUGAGAACGGCCUGGGUCAAUGAAUUCUAUUUCAAGGAAUGAACUUUGGGUUGGAAAUCCACCAGAGUGGGUUGAGAAGUUCAAAGAUAGCAAUUGCUCGAUCUUCAAAUUUCUUGCGGACAUGUAUUACAGAUCAAGUUCGAGGGGUCGUCUGUCGUCUACUUUGCAAUGCACUCUUUUAGAAUCUGAACUUUAUAGUGAUGCAAGUAAUGAUGGAUGGGAUGAUGCUAUUGGUUGCUUGUGCGAUCUUCUCAAGCAGUAUAUUAAGCUACAAAUAGAAACAGAUAUUGAAGAGAUCUAUGUUUGCUUUCCUCUUCUUUGAAGGUUUACUACAAUGUCAAAAAUUUUCUUUCAAGUUUACAAUGUCGUCUUUCCUCACCUUCAGGUGACUUCCCGCAAUGUGCGGGGGUAUGGCUCUACUGCGGCGAGAGACUGGUAUGCCGAGCUCCCGGAGGCUGUUCGGGAUUUGGUUGACUUGACGGGGUUUGGGCCGUUCUGUACUGGGUUAUCCCGUUGCCCUGCCAGGAGGACGCUGAUGGCUGCCUUAAUGGAGAGAUGGUGGGACACCACCAACUCCUUCCAUUUUUUCGCUACGGGGGACUUGACUAUGACCCCCUUUGACUUCGCCGUACUGACUGGCCUGGACAUGGGAGGUUGGCCUAUCCUUUACGAUGAGGACAUGGGUCAGUGGGAGGCUUCCUAGAUAUAUUUGCUGGGGGCUCGCCCGCCUGUUGAUAGAGCUUCAGGGAAAGUCCGAUACACCUGGUUCUCUUCCCAUUUCCGGCGGGCGGAGAUGGAGCCCGGGACUCCUGAUGAGGCGGCACAGUAUGCCCGCGG